rnacentral:rRNA from 1 species
UACAGAGGGUGCGAGCGUUGUCCGGAAUCACUGGGCGUAAAGGGCGCGUAGGUGGCGCUCCAAGUCCGUGGUGAAAGCUCGAUGCUCAACAUCGAGUCGGCCACGGAGACUGGAGGGCUCGAGCACUGUAGGGGCAGAUGGAAUUCCUGGUGUAGCGGUGGAAUGCGCAGAUAUCAGGAGGAACACCAACGGCGAAGGCAGCCCGCUGGGACGGUACUGACGCUAAGGCGCGAAAGCGUGGGGAGCGAACAGG